AUUGAACGCUGGCGGCAGGCCUAACACAUGCAAGUCGAACGGUAACAGGAAACAGCUUGCUGUUUCGCUGACGAGUGGCGGACGGGUGAGUAAUGUCUGGGAAACUGCCUGAUGGAGGGGGAUAACUACUGGAAACGGUAGCUAAUACCGCAUAACGUCGCAAGACCAAAGAGGGGGACCUUCGGGCCUCUUGCCAUCGGAUGUGCCCAGAUGGGAUUAGCUAGUAGGUGGGGUAACGGCUCACCUAGGCGACGAUCCCUAGCUGGUCUGAGAGGAUGACCAGCCACACUGGAACUGAGACACGGUCCAGACUCCUACGGGAGGCAGCAGUGGGGAAUAUUGCACAAUGGGCGCAAGCCUGAUGCAGCCAUGCCGCGUGUAUGAAGAAGGCCUUCGGGUUGUAAAGUACUUUCAGCGGGGAGGAAGGGAGUAAAGUUAAUACCUUGACUCAUUCACGUUACCCGCAGAAGAAGCACCGGCUAACUCCGUG
rnacentral:rRNA from 1 species